rnacentral:rRNA from 1 species
AGAGUUUGAUCAUGGCUCAGAACGAACGUUGGCGGCGUGGAUUAGGCAUGCAAGUCGAGGGAAUCCCAGCAAUGGGGGAACCGGCGUAAGGGGCAGUAAUGCGUGGGUACCUACCCUGGGGUUCGGCAUAGCCUCUCGAGAGAGAGGGUAAUUCCGGAUGACGUCGUGAGACCAAAGGUUUACCGCCCCGGGAGGGGCCCACGUGAUAUUAGCUAGUUGGUGGGGUAACGGCCCACCAAGGCGAAGAUGUCUAGCGGGUGUGAGAGCACGACCCGCGCCACUGGCACUGAGACACUGGCCAGACACCGACGGGUGGCUGCAGUCGAGGAGCUGCGGCAAUGGGCGCAAGCCUGACCGAGCGACGCCGCGUGUGCGACGAAGGCCUUCGGGUUGUAAAGCACUGUCGAGGGGGAGAAAAGCGCAAGCUUGAUAUAUCCCUGGAGGAAGCACGGGCUAAGUUCGUGCCAGCAGCCGCGGUAAUUC